rnacentral:tRNA from 1 species
GCCUUUUUAGCUCAGCAGGUAGAGCGCAUCCAUGGUAAGGAUGAGGUCGCCGGUUCAAUUCCGGCAAAAGGCUCCA